UGGAAGAAUGAUACACGUGAUGCAAAUAGUUAAGCUUCUCGUCACAAUUUCUUCCUAUAAAAAAUUGCCUUCAGAUGACUGUAACUUGUGAAGUUUUAAUUUACAGACAGAUACGGGGCAUACAAGC